UUUGCCCCGUUUUCCCACACAAAAUCCGAAUCAUCUCCAUCCACCCCCUCGUUUCGCUUCGCGCCUUUUUUUUUUAUUCUCCGUGGUUUUUCUCUUCGUACUUGCCGCUGCCAAUCUUCACGGUCGGCGUAUCGUCUCGGAUGAUGAUGAUGACUCAGAUUGGCCUCGGCUGCUGCGGUUGAAGGAGCGACGCCGGACCGGUGGAUGUGCCGACAGCGAAACCAAAAGAAUCUCAUCCUUCAAAUCGGCGGAUCGUAUCCAGAUGAUGAUGAUGAUGAUCCAUCCAUCCAACCUCAGCCUGGGCAAUCGGAUAAAAGGCUCUUGUAAACAGUGAACACACCACCCCGCGUCCCCCUUUGCGCGCGGCAUAGAUGGGCGGGAUAAUGGAAUUCCGAAAGGCGGCAAUGAAGUGGGAGCGAGCAGAACGAAGCAAAGAGUCGACAGGACAUAUUCUGGAGUGAAUUGGAAUUUGACUCGGAAGUUCAAUCAGACAUGGAAAAUGGUCCUGAUGAUGGUUUAGUGGCGAUGGCAGCGAAAGCCCGAGGUGGCCCGGCGACAGAUAAAUCUGGUCCAAACAUGGGCAAGGACAAAAAAGCGAGGACUUGAAUCAGAGUGGCCGCGACUCAAAUGUGGAAUCUAAUGGUGUGGUUUACUGUGGGGAUGAUCUGAAUUGCUGGAGAUGAAUCAAGGGAAUCCAGAGCCAGAGAGAGAUGCGAAAAAAAAAAUAAUAAUUGGUCGGAGAAAAAUCCGUCGAGUCUGCAAGGAAGGUGUUUGAUGGAAUGACGAAGCUGGACUCUGUUUCCAAGGAUACCCAUUCGAGAGAGAGAGAAUUAGCGAGCUUUAUCAAGCAGUGAGAGCAAGUUCGAGUUUGAGAGGGCAUGAUGUUGUCAAUUCUAACACGAAAAGCCACUGCCAGAGGCUUGGAUGCUGUGUUGUUGAGAGAAAGGCUGCGGAAGAGUUGUGCCGCAGAAAUGUCGUUACGUAGUAAUGCUACUGCGGGCAAAUAGAUGACUGUGAGAGAGGCUAUGAAUGCUACGUUUGAUGAGGAAAUGUCUGCAGAUCCUAGAGUCUUUCAAUGUGUCUAAAGGUUCUUUUCUUUAGCAGAAGUAUGGACCUGAGAGGGUUGUUGAUACUGCUAUCACAGAGGCUGGUUUCGCUGGAGUUGAAGUCAGCGCUGCUUUCUAUGGUCUCAGGCCUGUCGUGGAUUUUAUGACAUUCAAUUUUGCUAUGCAGGUGAUUGAACACGUUAUAAAUUCUGUUGCAAAGAUGAAUUGCAUGUUGACCAGCGAUAUAUCAGUCCCUAUAGUUUCAAGAGGAGCUGCAGCAGGAGUUGAUGCCUUACAUUCCCAAGCCCUAUGAAGACGUUGCCAUCCCACCUGGAGGUAGCUUUACUGAAUUCAGCCUUGUUAGAUCACUUGUCACCCUCAGGGUCUAUGGAACACAAGAAUUGUCUGUGGCGUGCUAAAUGAGAGUUGCUCAUGAACGGUGUAACAUCUCCAGCAUGUCCCUUCAACCGAAGUUCUUCCUCAUCCUCUGCUUUUUCCAGAUUUGCAUUCACCAAUUUCUUAAUGCAGUGUGUUAGUUGCAUUAUUUGAAGGCCUUGUCAUCAAGGAAUGGAUAGGCUGCGUGGCUGCAAAUCUAAUUGGCAUUUACUCAAGUCUCCUUUUCAGUUGAUAAUAUGAGGGUACUGAAAUGGCCCAUAUGCUCAAUAUAAUAAUGUAGGCGCAUUGUUAUUACACUGAUUAACUCAGCUUGUGAUGUUUGGUAUUAGACUCAGAAAGCUUCACGUCUCCUUCGUCCUUUUCCUGCCUUCUUUUGUUCGAAUGGGUAAGCAAUCAUUCACAAAUUCUGGGCAUGCUUGUCUUGUUCCGAAGUAGUAAUUGCUUUUGCUAUUGAAUGACACUCUUUGCCCUCAUGAACUUUGAUCGGUGACCUAUUGUUGAACCGCUAGUCUUUACAUUAGUCCAUGAUUCAGUCAUGCCAAAUUCGAUUUGUUUAUUACAUGCUCUGGUAUUCUAGGGUUGAAUGAAUUUUUAUUUGGGUCUGCUUUGCUUCACAGUUAUUAGUAUCAAUAUUAUGUGUUGCUUCAUUUUGUAAUAAUGCGGUGUAGGAAAUUGGUGAACUCCUUAAACUCCCUCCUAGGCAACAUUGUCAUUGAUGAUAGGUCAUUUAGGGCAUUUGUUUCUCUUGUAUACAUGUUUCUAGUGACGUCAGAUUAACUUAAAGACUCUCUGGAAAUACAGAUAAUGGAGAUCCAAGGAAAUAUCUUUGUGGAUUUUUAAGCUGCUUUUGAUGUGAAAUUGGGGUCUUGGAAUUUGACAUUUGUUGAUUCACUUUCGAUCAAUGCUAUAUUCAAUGCAUUUAUCAUUUUUUUUCCUUCUCUUCUUUUAAACGGUGAUGUCGUUGCCACAGGAUUCGCCAUCAGGGUUGCUGUGAAACCCAAGUAUCAAAUCAGAUCAGUUGUAUGAGAAUUGUUUUGUAGCUCAUUCCAGUGGCUUCACACGCAAACCAUGGUAUGAUGUGGAUUAUACAAAUAUCACCAGCAAGAGUGACCACCGCAAGGGCUAUCAUUUUCCUCGUGCUCACAGGUCUAUUCUUGCUCAGUUUCAAACACUCUCAAUUGACAAACUGAUAUAAAUAGGAAGGAAAGCAAAGAAUGGGGUGGGAGUGCAGGGGGAGAAGGAUACAUUGGGUGGGAGAUAAUCGAAAUAAGUGAGCCUGCAUCACUUUUGUUCAUGCAAAGGAAAAAGCACCAAUAGUAGCAGCCACCCAUGCAUGCAAGAACCAUGGAAAGAGAGAAUGAAGUACUGUGAGUUUUCUUAAGCUGCUUCUGAUGCGAAAUUGAGGUCUUGGAAUUUGACAUGUCAAUUCACUUUCGAUCGAUGUUUGAUUCUAUGCAUUUAUCAUUUUUUUCCUUCUCUUCUUUUAAAUGGUGAUGAUGUUGCUACGGGAUUUGACAUCCGGGUUGCUGCAGAACCAAAGUAUCAAAUCAGAUCAGGUGAAUGAGGAUCAUUUUGUAGCUCAUUCCAGUGUCUUCACAUGCGAACCAUAGUGGUUCCUGAUCUUACGAAUAGGGCUGGAUUAUCUUAUUAAAUUUGAUGCGGAAUCGGUAACUCUUGAAUUAUUCUGCUACCCACCGAGGAACAUAUUGUAUCCAUAGUGGAAAUGAAAUCUCGUAGGAUUUUCACUUUCUAGCUUUUAACCAGCUCGUGUCUCAUUGUCUUGAUCUGGGCUUCUAGCUACAUAUUUUCAUCAUCAUUUCUUGAUAUGUAAACUCUGUAUAUUUAGAAAUGUUAAGUGAUGCAAUCACUUUUGGAGCUAGCUUUAGGACCAAUCAUGUGAUGCUUUUGCCUUUCAAAUUUAUGGCUAAGCCCUUUCUAGUUCGACUUGGCAAUCACUGAGUUGGCUUUUGCACUGACUGGUCUUAAUAUAUCUCCAAAAGUGCUAAGUUUCACUACAACUGUAGAGGAAGAUAAUGACCAAAGGACCCACUUAAACAACCUUUCACUACACACUUCUCUCUCGUCCCUAUGCCCCAUUUUUGGUCCAUUUUUGUGGAAGUUAAUAAUUUGAUGAUUAAUGUUUAAGUAGUUUCAUUUGUUUGUCAUUUAGUUAAUGGAGCAUCUAUUGUUUUGGUGGAUUUUGAUUCAACAUCUCUGUUUGUGGCUUUUCAACUGUAGGAUGGAAAUAGAUUGUCCAAGUUCUUUAUAUAUCCUUCAAAAUUCAGUACCUUGUCUUCUGGUUCAAAUGGAAUAGUAUGGCAGUUUCAAUUUUCUUGGAUUGGCUUCUUCUUAACAGUGUCCUCAGUUUUGGCGUUUGGUGGGAAUGUAGUCGCCAUAUUCAUGAUUGACAUGCUAGGCAUUACAAACAGGAACAAACCGAGAACUUGGAGGGUAUGUUUUGGUUCUCCAUGAAUCACUUCAACCAAGAGGUUGUGUCAUAUAAUGCUGGUUACUAAUAUGUUGAUGUGUGUUCGACUGCUGAUGUAGUCAGAUCAGAAUUAUGACAAACAGGGAGGUUCACUGGUCCACUAAACUUUUAAGUGCAUGCAUUGGAGAUCUAACACCUGUACAUGCACAAGUUCUCUACCCUUCUAACAUUGCAUUGUGGAAGUUAUAAAUGUGUUUUGAUCACUUUGAUCAGAAUCAAAUCAUAGAAGCAUGUUCUGCUAAGCAAAGCUGAUCGUUCAGCUUUGCUGGCCAUCCGAGGCGUGUUUGAAAAAGUAGUUUUCUAUGUGCUUCCAAUGUUUGGACCAAAGUCUCUCAUUUCUAGACAUUACUUUCCUACUGAAAGCUUCAUAUUAUGGAGGCUUGGUUACAGAGUCAGAUGUUCUCGGCUUGCAAUCUGGUUUUUUGACUGCUCCAAGAGGAAGUACCGAGUGUACUAACAAUGUACGUAUGAAGUGGAUUAGGCAAAUAUCACCAACAAGAGUGGCCACCCCAAGGGCUAUCAUUUCUUCGUGCUCUAAGAUCUGUUCUUGCUUAGUUUCAAAUACUCUCAACAGAGAAACUGAUAUAAAUAGGAAGAAAAGCAAAGAAGCGGGUGGGGGUGCGGCGGGAGAAGGAUACUUCAGGUGGGACCUAGUCAAAGUAAGUGUGUAUCACUUUUGUUUAUGCAAAGAUAAAAUCACCAAUACCAGCAGCCAUCCACACAUACGAGAACUAAAGAAAGAGAGAUUGAAGUACAAGCACAU